CUCAAUUGGCAAGGAAGCACUUCAACUUUGGUAGUGCACAUCUAGACACUCCAACUCGUCUCUACUGCGUCUCAUGGACACCCAAUAGUGCUGACGUGACACAUAAAUUUGGAGGUGUCUAGAUGAUGACGGUGUAAGUUGGAGUGUUCAGCCUACACAUGGGAGAAGAGUUGAGAUGUCUAAAUUUGCAUAUUCAAAGUUGGAGCGCUUACUUAUCAGCUGAGGUCAAACUUGAAUGUCUGGCUGUGUAUUCUGCCAUUUUAAUUUAUGGGACAUUUGGAUUUGGUAUUAGUGUAUCGUUAUACUUUCCGUGACUACUCCAUUUUGUUUUGUAGGUGACAUUAUCAGGUUUACUGAAUUUUAUUGAUGGAUUAUGGUCGAGUUGUGGAGACGAAAGAAUCAUAAUUUUCACAACAAAUCACAUAGAGAAACUCGACCCUGCAUUGUUGCGACCUGGUAGAAUGGACAUGCACAUUCACAUGGCAUAUUGCACACCUUGUGGCUUCAAACUUCUUGCUACCAAUUACUUAGGGAUUAAAGAUCAUAAAUUGUUCAAAGAAAUUGAGGAAUUGAUUGACAUAGCCAAUGUGACACCAGCAGAAGUGGCAGAGCAAUUGUUGAAGGAAGAUGAAGUUGAGAAUUCCCUUAAAGGGUUGAUUAAUUUUCUUUACAAAAAGAUAAAAGAGAAUGAAGAGGUUAAGGCUAAGAAAGUGGAAAUAACACAAGUGGAAUCUGAUGAUGAGAAGAAGGAAAAUGUUGAAAAUGAGAUUAAAGAAAAAGAGGAAGAAAUGGACUUACCAAAUGGGGAAAGUAGUUAAAUCCACAUAAAAAAAAGUUUGUCUAAUCCAAUUUCACGCGGUGUAGCGCCUCAUUUGAUCUAUAUAAAAUAAAUAAAAAAAAAUAAUAAUCUGGUAAAAUUGUACAAUAUUAUACGAGAACUAUACUGUGAGAAUCCCUAUCACUUAAUCAUAUGAUUAGAAGAUAGUUUAUAUAAUUUUGUACGUAUUAAUUAAUCUGAAUUAAACGACUAAGUUGUAUGUCCCCUUGAGAAUAUUACUUUAUAUUCGCACUAUUUUAUAUAAAUAAAAUACGUACUAGUGUUAUUAUAUACGUUUACUCAAUUAUAAUAAAUAUUUUUACUUAAAUGUCCUCUAUCAGAAAGUUUCAAAAUUUAACUAUUAAUACUCAAAAAUCAGACUUGUAAACCCAAAUAGUUUUCUCCACCGGCGGCGAAUUCGUCAUCAAACCGGCAGCACCAGCAAAUUGAUUAUUGUCCGAUUUGGCUCCGUUCAGCUAAUUGAUUUUCCGGCCGACUAAUUUUGAGUGAGGUAAUUUUCCCCUGAUUUAUAUGAUCUGUAAAUUGAGUUACAGUGUUUUGACUCUGCAUAAUGAUAGGCCUAACUUCAAUCUCUUGUUUCGUUGUUCAACUAUUUAUUGUUCUAUUUACCUACCUAACCUAUCACCUUUUUGUGAGUUUCGUGCUUCAACUAUCAGUCACUUUGUACUAAAAUACUCAUGGAUGUUAAGUUAGCCUUCACGGGGAACAAGUUAAUAUUUGGUUAUCUCAAUAUCAAUGUGUGUUUUGAUACAAUUGUAGCCAUGGUGAAUUCUCCUUAAAAUUGUUAAUGUGGCCAUUCCAAGGUAGAAUAUAAUAUAAUAUUAAAAUGCUGACCAACAAUACCCCACUCAUUUUCAUAUUAUAAAAACUCAGACCCCACUAAUUAGUGGCGGGGCCACCUUUGAGUCAGGGGUUCAUUCGAACCCCCUUUGGCGCAAAAUUAUAUUAUUUAUAUAUGGUUAAAAUAAUUUUUUAGGUAUAUAUAGUAGAUGUCGAACUACCUUCGACUACUUUAAUUUGUGUCUUUAUUUUUUCAGAUUUUGAACCCCCUUAUUAAAAUUCUGACUCCGUCACUACCUCACUUUGUGAAAUUACAUUGAAUAUGUCGUUAUUUAUAAAGACGUAACCAAACUUUAGACGGGUCAAAAUAUGACUGGUGAUUAAUUUUCUUCAUUCAAACGCGUUAAAUACUAUAUAGUAUUUAAUUACCUUAAUUAACACCCCGAUCUACACUUCAGAAAGACCCAAUAUUCAACUUAGAGUCAAGUCGGAGAAAAAUAAAUACUAUAUAGUAUUUAAUUGCUUAUUUUCCAAUAACCUAUGUUCAUGUUGACUUUGCAUUUUUCCCUAUAUUACCUUUUAUGAAUUGGAAAAAUAGGAACAUGUCAUGAUGAUAGUAGUAAAGUAAAAAAAUUUCGUUAAGAGUGUUCUAAAUUUACUAGAGCACAUAAAAAUAAUACUCCUAUUUAACCAAUAUAUAAAAUAUUGGCGAAAGACGUAAACUAUAAGGAAAUUCUUGUGGGCAUACAUAGGAAAGUUUCAAAGUCUACAUAGUCAAUACCAACUACCACUAUUGUUAGUCUUGGUGCAAUUUUUUCCAAUUUUCUUUGGCCAAUUUCUCACUCUAUUUUUUAUUUCUUUUCUUCACAUGAUUUUGCUAUAAAUUUACCAUUUUCCUCAAUUGCAAUUGCAUCAAUAUAUUGGUUCCUAUUUUUUUUUCCACACAUUUGGUGCAUAACACUAACAUUCACUAGCCAAAAGAACCCUUAAAAAUAUGUCAUCUUCAUCAGCAGAAUCGAAAAUGGCCUUGGCCAAGACUUUUCUAUCGACAGUAGGCUCUGUUGCUGCGCCAGCCAUGUUGGUUCGUUCGAUAUUCCAUGACUACAUUCCCCGGGAACUCCAUGAAUAUCUCUUCUUUGGACUUAGAAACAUUUUCACCAAGUUCUCAAAUCAGCUAACGAUGGUGAUUGACGAAUUUGAUGGUCUUGUCAAUAAUGAAAUUUAUGAAGCUGCUCAGACCUAUUUGGGCAGCAAGUUGUCACCUAACAUCCAUCGACUUAAAAUCAGUAAGCCUGAGAAGGAGAAAAAUUUCAACAUUGCCAUGGAACGUAAUGAGGAGGUAAUGUCUUGCACAUAUAAAAUUGCAUGUCAUGUUACUUGUCAUCUUAAAAGGUUUGGUCUAAACUUGAAGCCAUUUGUUACUUGGACUCUUUAAAAAAUAUUGAUGUGUGUGUCAGAUCCUUCAAAAGUUUUUUUUUUUUUGAGGAUCCAACACAAAAGUGACAACAUUUUUUAGGGUCGGUUCCACCUAGACUAGAAGUAGUCUGAUGUAGAGACUCUCCACAUUAGACAUAUGUGAUAUGGAACAUACUGAGGAGGUAAAGUCUUGCACAUAUAUAUAAUGAUAAUUGCAUGUCAUAUUAUUUGUUAUCAUAAAGAGUUUGGUCUAAACUGGAAGCUAUGUUGCCUAAACUCUUCAAAAAUAUUGACGGGUAUGCAUCAGAUUCUUGAAAAGUUAUGCAGAGGAUCCAACACGGGUACAACAACAUUUUUGAAUGUCCGUGUCUGUCAGACAUAUGACUCUUUUUCCUAAUAAUCCACCAUUGGAAUAGUGAAAUUAGUCGCCUUUCUUUAAAAUUCAUACGUCUUGAUUUGAAGAACGAUUGUAUUCACGAGUUCAAGUAAGGUUCCACGUUUAAUUUACCUUUAUGAUAAUUUAACGUAAUAGAUCGUGUGAAGACGAUGUUUUUUUUUAAAAUCUCAAGGUUUUAUUCCAACAGGUGACAGAUGUUUAUAAUGGACAGACAUUCAAGUGGAUUUGGCUCUGUAGACAAACACAGUCUACAAACUUCUAUAAUUCCAGGGACAUGAAUUCCACUCUAAAAUCUGAAAUCAGGUCCUUUGAGCUGACAUUUCACAAGAAAAACAAGGACCUUGUCCUUAAUUCGUAUUUGCCUCACAUCAUGAAAGAAGCAAAAUUGCAAAAACACGUAAACAAGACGAUCAAGAUUCACACUGUGGAUUGCGAGAGAAUGUACAAUUUACACGAAAUGUGGAAGCCAGUGAAUCUUAAUCAUCCAGCCACUUUUGAGACAAUCGCGAUGGAAUCAGAUCAAAAAGACAUGAUCUUGAAAGAUUUGGAGAGAUUCGUGAAGAGGAAAGAUUAUUAUAGGAAAGUUGGCAAGGCAUGGAAAAGAGGGUAUUUGUUGUUUGGUCCUCCAGGGACCGGAAAAUCUAGUUUGAUUGCUGCAAUGGCGAAUUAUUUGAACUUUGAUAUAUAUGAUUUGGAGUUGACUUCGCUGAGGGGGAACAUGGAGUUACGGAGGUUGUUGGUUGCCACAGCCAAUAAGUCCAUUUUGGUGGUGGAGGACAUUGAUUGUACCAUUGAAUUGCAAGAUAACUUGGCUAACCGAGCUACUGUUCAUUCAAUUAAUGGUUUUGGUAUGAAAGAAACCAAGGUAAAUUAGUCUUCUAUUUUCCAUUUCCUUACUAUUCCUACAAGUUGUAGACACAAUAAAAAGUUAGGGCUAUGUAUUUUAGUUAAAUAGUGUAAUACAUAAGCAUACACUCAAAUUUCACCUCAAUUGGCAAGGAAGCACUUCAACUUUGGUAGUGCACAUCUAGACACUCCAACUCGUCUCUACUGCGUCUCAUGGACACCCAAUGCUGAUGUGACACAUAAAUUUGGAGGUGUCUAGAUGAUGACGGUGUAAGUUGGAGUGUUCAGCCUACACAUGGGAGAAGAGUUGAGGUGUCUAGAUUUGCACAUUCAAAGUUGGAGUGUUCAGCCUACACAUGGGAGAAGAGUUGAGGUGUCUAGAUUUGCAUAUUCAAAGUUGGAGUGUUCAACCUACACAUCGGAGAAGAGGUGAGGUGUCUAGAUUUGCAUAUUCAAAGUUGGAGCGUUUACUUAUCAGCUGAGGUCAAACUUAAAUGUCUGGUUGUGUAUUCUGUCAUUUUAAUUUAUGGGGUAGUAUGACAUUUGGAUUUGGUAUUAGUGUAUCGUUAUACUUUCCGUGACUACGCCAUUUUGUUUUGUAGGUGACAUUAUCAGGUUUACUGAAUUUUAUUGAUGGAUUAUGGUCGAGUUGUGGAGACGAAAGAAUCAUAAUUUUCACGACAAAUCACAUAGAGAAACUCGACCCUGCAUUGUUGCGACCUGGUAGAAUGGACAUGCACAUUCACAUGGCAUAUUGCACACCUUGUGGCUUCAAACUUCUUGCUGCCAAUUACUUAGGGAUUAAAGAUCAUAAAUUGUUCAAAGAAAUUGAGGAAUUGAUUGACAUAGCCAAUGUGACCCCAGCAGAAGUGGCAGAGCAAUUGUUGAAGGAAGAUGAAGUUGAGAAUUCCCUUCAAGGGUUGAUUAAUUUUCUUUACAAAAAGAUAAAAGAGAAUGAAGAGGUUAAGGCUAAGAAAGUGGAAUUAACACAAGUGGAAUCUGUUGAUGAGGAGGAGGAAAAUGUUGAAAAUGAGAUUAAAGAAAAAGAGGAAGAAAAGGACUUACCAAAUGGGGAAAGUACUUAAAUCCACAUAAAAAACAGUUUGUCUGAUCCAAUUUCACGCGGUGUAGCGCCUCAUUUGAUCUAUAUAAAUAAUAAAAAAAUAUAUCUGGUAAAUUGUACAAUAUUAUACGAGAACUAUGCUGUGAGAAUCCCUAUCACUUAAUCAUAUGAUUAGAAGAUAGUUUAUAUAAUUUUGUACGUAUUAAUUAAUCUGAAUUAAACGACUAAGUUGUAUGUCCCCUUGAGAAUAUUACUUUAUAUUCGCACUAUUUUAUAUAAAUAAAAUACGUACUAGUGUUAUUAUAUACGUUUACUCAAUUAUAAUAAAUAUUUUUACUUAAA
rnacentral:lncRNA from 1 species